UCAGGACUAACGCUGGCGGUGCGCCUAACACAUGCAAGUCGUACGGGCUCCUUCGGGAGCUAGUGGCAGACGGGUGAGUAACGCGUAGGUAAUGUACCUCUUCGCUGGGGAUACCUACCUGAAAAGGUGGCUAAAACCGAAUGAGCUUUUCAAGCGGCAUCGCUUGAUUUGCAAACCUCCGGGGCGAAGAGAUCAGCUUGCGUACUAUCAGCUAGUAGGUGAGGUAAUGGCUUACCUAGGCUUCGACGGUUAGCCGGUCUGAGAGGAUGAUCGGCCACAUUGGAACUGAAACACGGUCCAGACUCCUACGGGAGGCAGCAGUGAGGAAUCUUGCGCAAUGGGCGAAAGCCUGACGCAGCGACACCGCGUGAGGGAUGAAGGUCUUCGGAUUGUAAACCUUUGUCAGUGGGGACGAGAACGGACGGUACCCGCUGAGGAAGCAUCGGCUUACUACGUGCCAGCCGCCGC
rnacentral:rRNA from 1 species